rnacentral:rRNA from 1 species
UAGGGAAUCUUCCACAAUGGACGCAAGUCUGAUGGAGCAACGCCGCGUGAGUGAAGAAGGUUUUCGGACCGUAAAGCUCUGUUGUUGGUGAAGAAGGAUAGAGGUAGUAACUGGCCUUUAUUUGACGGUAAUCAACCAGAAAGUCACGGCUAACUACGUGCCAGCAGCCGCGGUAAAUCGUAGGUGGCAAGCGUUGUCCGGAUUUAUUGGGCGUAAGGCGAGCGCAGGCGGAAGAAUAAGUCUGAUGUGAAAGCCCUCGGCUUAACCGAGGAAUUGCA